rnacentral:lncRNA from 1 species
UUGGAGGGCGAUGAGGACAGCUUGGAGGGCGAAGAGGACCACUUGGAGGGUGACGAGGACCGCUUGGAGGGUGAUGAGAACCACUUGGAGGGCGACGAGGACUGCUUGAAGGGCUACGAGGACAGCUUGAAGGGCGAUGACACAUGAGGAGAGAGGAGAGUGGAGAGGGAGUGCCUUGAUGGGCGAUGAGGAAGAGAUAUAUGCUUGGAGGGCGAUGAGAAUCAUGUUUCCAAGCUUGGUGGGUGAUGAGAAACAUGUUACCAAGAUUGGGGGGCAAUGAGGAAGAGAGGGGAGGAAGGAGGUGGGUCCCAUGAGUGAUGAAGCCUUUCUAUUGUUCCUUUUGC